CUGGAACAUUUCCAUUAGGCUGGGAUCGUUACAAUAUCUUACAAGGUUUUCAGCCAUCUCAAAACGUAUCAAUUACCUACCAAGAAAAUAUACUUUUUUCACAGCUACUAUUUCUAUUCCUUAUUUUGAGAGGAAAAUGUGGAAAGACAGAAGUGAGAAGUUUUUCUGAAAGAGCAAAUACACAUUUAUCACCAAGAUAAACAGCUUUAAACCAUGUUGUCAUGUGGCCUAAGACUUGUGCACAAACACACACAGACACACACAGAAUUGUUCAUAAAUACACAGGCAACCACCCACACAUACCACCUGGUCACCUCAAACAGCAGGGUCAGUAGUGUUUUAGUGUCUGUAACCCAGAUUACACAGUAAUGACUGUAAUGAUUUACUAAACAGACUACAUCUACUGGUUGACAUGUUUAUGAUGUUCUCACUGUCUUCUAUCUACUCUGUAUUACAGAUGACCUCAGGAGGGACUAUGAUGUCCUCAGUAGGGACUAUGGACAACAGAGCUCUGUGCUGGAUGACCUCAGGAAGUAUGGUGAGUAAUAUCUUACAUACAUGUUUGUUUUUAUAUCCAUGUGGGGACUAAAUAAUGAUGACUUAUUUUCCCUGUCCUCUAACCCCAAAAUCAUCCUAACUCUGAUCUCCACCUAGAAUAUUAUGUUACUGUAUGACUCAACUCAAAUUGUACAUUUUACCGUAAACCUAACCUCUUACUGUAUGACUUAACUCCAAUUAGAGGUUUCACUGUAAACCUAACCUCUUACUGUAUGACUUAACUCCAAUUGUACGUUUUACCGUAAACCU
ensembl:lncRNA